rnacentral:rRNA from 1 species
AUAAUAGAUUACCCUUUGAACUUAAGCAUAUCAUUAAAAGGAGGAGAAGAAACUAACUAGGAUUUCUUUAGUAGCAGCGAGUGUAACAAGAAACAACCCUUGAUUGUAAUCCUUUAUGGAGCUGUAAAUCAUAUAUUUUAUUUCUUAUUUCGUAGAGGAUGUAUAUCCGUUAUAAAUGAGAUAUAUAAAAGUAAUUGAGUAGGGCUGCUUGGUAGUGCAGUUUGAAUAUAGGUAGAAUGAGAUAUCUAAGGUUAAAUAUAAUGGUACACCGAUAGCAAAUAAGUACUGCGAAGGAACUUGUGAAAAUGUGUGGGUUAUAGCCUUAUUUUUAAGGACCCGUCUUGAAACACGGACCAAGGAGAUUAUAAUUAUAGCGAGAUAACAAUGUAGUCGUUAUUAGCUUGAUAAGUUAUAAUUAUAAGACCCGAAACACAGUGAACUAUACAUGUUCUGGUUGAAGAUAAGCAACAGUUUAUUGGAAGACCAUAAUCAUUCUGACGUGCAAAUCGAUGAUUUAAGAUGUGUAUAGUGGCGAAAGGCCAAUCGAACUGUGUGGUAGCUGGUUCACAGCGAAAUGUCUCUAAGGACAGCAGUCAUUUUUUAGGACAUAGAUGUAGGACACUGUUAUACUAUUUAUAGUAUGAGAAAUUACGGAAUUCUAUGGAACAUUGUAAAUUAAGUUUACGAUGUGUAUCUAAGAGUAUGACUAGUGGGCACAUGAUUGUAAGAAUGAUGUGCAAAAAGGGAUGAACCUUAUGAAACAUUAAAUAUUCUAAAUAGUAGACACUAUACCAUAAAUAUGAUGAAUACAUUGAGACAGUAGGGCGGUUGUUAUGGAAGUAGAAAUCCGCUAAGAAACGUGUUACAACGUACCUACCGAAUGUAUUAUUGUAUAAAAUGGAAGAAGAUUACUACUUUUAUGAGAUGUUUCUGUAUAGUAUUCAGGUAGCUGUGCAAUUUGUUUGUAUUGAAGUAUGCAUGUGAGUGUGUAUUGAAGAAACAAAUGAGCCGAUCUUGGAGGCAGUAACAAUAUAUUUGUAUAGAUAUUAGACUAGGGUUUUCAAUUACUAUUGAAGUGAAUCGGAGUUAUGUUAAAAACAAAGAAGAUUAAUAAUUCUUCAUUUUACUACGACAAGGCGACUUAAUUAUGACGGUAUAUUUUUUGCAUAAGAAAAAUGAAUUAUGUGAUGUUUAGCUAUGGAUUGUCAUGAUAAGAAAUAGCUUUUUAUAUAUGCCUGAUAAAAAAGACGUAGUGAAUCCGUACCUAUACCGCAUCAGGUGUCAAUGUUUACAAACAAAUAUUUUAAAAUAACGUAAGUAAGGGAAUUCGGCAAAUUAGAUCUGUAACUUUGGGAUAAAGAUUGGCUCUAGCAUGCUAGAACUUUUACUAUGUAAGGAAUCUGACUGUUUAUUAAAAACAUAGCUUUUUGUAUUUACAAGAAGUGAAUUCUGCCCAGUGCAUUUAUUGUUAAAGUUGUGUAAGCGAAUGUAAACGGCGGGAGUAACUAUGACUCUCUUAAGGUAGCCAAAUGCCUCGUCAUUUAAUUGGUGACGCGCAUGAAUGGAGCAACGAGAUUCCUACUGUCCCUACUUACAAUUUUGUGAAACCACGAAACAAGGGAACGGGCUUGUUAUAAAUCAGCGAGGAAAGAAGACCCUGUUGAGCUUGACCUUAGUAUGUCCUAAUGAAUAUUCGAUAUAUUGUAGCGAGGUGGGAGGAAAGUGUGAAACCACUAGUAUAUUUGAAUAUUUGUUUACAAUGGAUAUAUGGGGAGUUUGGCUGGGGCGGUACAGCUGUUAAAAAGUAACACAGCUGUCCUAAGGUAGAUGAAUGAUGGAUGGUAACCAUCAGUUUAUUAUAAGGGAAUAAAUCUGCUUUACUUUAUAUAGAUGAGUAUAUUUAGUAGGGAAACCUUGGCCUUGCGAUCCCAAUUACAUUCAUUAUGUAUUGGGUGUUUGAAAAGUUACCACAGGGAUAACUGGCUUGUAGCAGGCAAGCGAUCAUAGCGACUCUGCUUUUUGAUUCUUCGAUGUCGUCUCUUCUGAACAUCGUAGUGUAUAUUUGACGAAGUGUUGGAUUGUUCACCCGGUAAUGGGAAACGUGAGCUAGGUUUAGA